UAGGGAAUCUUCCGCAAUGGACGCAAGUCUGACGGAGCAACGCCGCGUGAGUGAAGAAGGUUUUCGGAUCGUAAAACUCUGUUGUAAGAGAAGAACAAAUUGUAGAGUAACUGCUACAGUCUUGACGGUAUCUUACCAGAAAGCCACGGCUAACUACGUGCCAGCAGCCGCGGUAAUACGUAGGUGGCAAGCGUUGUCCGGAUUUAUUGGGUUUAAAGGGAGCGUAGGCCGUUUGGUAAGCGUGUUGUGAAAUGUAGGAGCUCAACUUCUAGAUUGCAGCGCGAACUGUCAGACUUGAGUGCGCACAACGUAGGCGGAAUUCAUGGUGUAGCGGUGAAAUGCUUAGAUAUCAUGAAGAACUCCGAUUGCGAAGGCAGCUUACGGGAGCGCAACUGACGCUGAAGCUCGAAGGUGCGGGUAUCGAACAGG
rnacentral:rRNA from 1 species